rnacentral:rRNA from 1 species
UGACCUCGGAUCAGGUAGGAUUACCCGCUGAACUUAAGCAUAUCAAUAAGCGGAGGAAAAGAAACCAACAGGGAUUGCCCCAGUAACGGCGAGUGAAGCGGCAACAGCUCAGAUUUGGAAUCUGGCCUUCGGGCCCGAGUUGUAAUCUGGAGAGGAUGCUUCUGGCGCGGUGCCUUCCGAGUUCCCUGGAACGGGACGCCGGAGAGGGUGAGAGCCCCGUACGGUUGGACACCUAGCCUCUGUGAAGCUCCUUCGACGAGUCGAGUAGUUUGGGAAUGCUGCUCAAAAUGGGAGGUAAAUUUCUUCUAAAGCUAAAUAUUGGCCAGAGACCGAUAGCGCACAAGUAGAGUGAUCGAAAGAUGAAAAGCACUUUGAAAAGAGAGUUAAAAAGUACGUGAAAUUGUUGAAAGGGAAGCGCCUGUGGCCAGACUUGCGCCGCGCGGACCACCCAGCGUUCUCGCUGGUGCACUCCGCGUGGCGCAGGCCAGCAUCGGUUUUCCUAGGGGGAUAAAGGUCGCGGGAACGUAGCUCCUCCGGGAGUGU